CUGAAAUAUGUGGGAUUUUGUCGCAUUGUACGCAAAUGCUUCGCCACAGAUCCAAGAUGGAAGGGUGGCAUCUUCCGUACACACUUCAGGUGUUCUUUUCCGGAACCACUUGAUACGGAUCGAAGAACUACACAGCAACGAGAGAUUCGACACUCUCGUCGAAGCGCGAGGAGUAACGUGCGCGUUCCGUUGGAGCAACAAAGUCGUCGCGGUACCUGCCUCUAGUUUACUUUUUUGUCCAUCCAUCAGAAUGCCUCAAUUUCUGUAGCAUAUGAAGAAACAGCUGGCCUUUGUUGACCGACAAGGAGGAACUUUUUCUUAGGCCUGCCUGGUCUUUUGGAAUUACACAUGCCCAGCCGGAUUCUUCUGCCACAGAGAGCGACAUAGUGCUAAAGUGUUUCGUACUGACUCUUGCUCUCACUCUCGUCUUCACGGCCUCAAUAAGCAUUCUUCACUUAAUAAUGGCCUUUAUGGAAACCCUAGUUGCGCUCGAGGAGGCGUGCUGCAUGCAACAUUGCAGGUAUUAUUUGUACCUCGAGUGAACGCGCCAAUCGUUAGGCGAGCGGGGGUGAGAACAAGACACAUUUGCUAACCUGGUGGCGUCUAGCGCUUCCUCUUCAAGAUCGAGGAAUCUGUUUCCGCAGAUAUGACAGGGAGGAUCCAGGAUCAAUGCCCGGUUACCUUGUUGGGAGCGCGCCUGAACGGGUUCCGUGGUCGUUUUUAAUGUGCAGUGGAUGGUAGAUUUAGAGGCGCAAGUCAGACGAGUGUGCAUCUCAGCUGGAUCGGAGUCCGAUACUUCAACUCUGAAAUGCGAGCGGCAGCAGCUGCUGGCCGUAAUCAAGACAUCAUCGUUGCUUACACUCUUCGCAAGAACUACGGAGACGCUCUUUCUCAGGAAAAGGAACAGAUAUCACAGAGUGACGGAAAUGGAAGACCGAAAUGCGACUGUUUUGCGUAUGGAAGGAUAUGGUACAUGGGUUGUUUGCACUCAGGGCAGACUUCGUCAUCCAGACUUAGGUAGGGAGGUCCGCUUCGGAACAAAACAGAAUACACGUGCUCCGUCCCUUCGCUAGCCUGGAAGUGGCUCGGCAAGAAAGCGUCUCCUUGCGCACUCGGGACAAGGCAAUCCUCCGACAGUGACGACAUUGUAGAACACCACAUGCGCUCCACCGGCCGCCGAUGACCAACCCACACUCCGGCAGGCGAAGGCCCUGAAGAGAUCGCUUUUUUCUGGAGAUUUCGGGGAUGACCUGUGAGGACCGUCUUGGUCCGAGAAACUGUGGGCUGCUCGGAAAUUUCAGAGUUGAGUGACCUAGUAUGUGCCUGCCUCUGCCCGCAAAAAAUCCCAUUGUCUGCUGUUGAAUUAAUGCCCCUCCACGUGGGAGCCCGGCGGCUCCAGCAACACCCACGGGCCGAGCGUCGAUCGGGUCAUCUAGAGCUCGUCUCCGCCACGACUCGCUCCAUGCGUUGGGUUUGUCAUGAGUAACUCGUUUCGGGUGCGAGCGUCAGUGCUUCCAUUUUCUCUCAGGUUCCGUGCGUCAAGAACGCGCCCCUAGCACGGGACUUGCGGCGAGAGGCUCUGCUACCUUUUUCAGUCUCAGAACUAAGAACCACGAGGUUAUACCUGCUUUAACCUUACCACAGUUCGGCGGUGCGCUGCAUCAGGGGGGAGCGUAGGCUGGGCGGAAAGAAACACUCCAAUUCACGUUUUCCGAGCUGACACCAGACACAUCCCCGUGUUUCUACAAGACCAACAUGCCUACUCGAGUGUAG
rnacentral:lncRNA from 1 species